GACGAACGCUGGCGGCGUGCUUAACACAUGCAAGUCGAACGGAAAGGCCCUGCUUUUGUGGGGUGCUCGAGUGGCGAACGGGUGAGUAACACGUGAGUAACCUGCCCUUGACUUUGGGAUAACUUCAGGAAACUGGGGCUAAUACCGGACAGGAGCUCCUGCUGCAUGGUGGGGGUUGGAAAGUUUCGGCGGUUGGGGAUGGACUCGCGGCUUAUCAGCUUGUUGGUGGGGUAGUGGCUUACCAAGGCUUUGACGGGUAGCCAGCAUGGGAGGGUGACCGGCCACAUUGGGACUGAGGUACGGCCCAGAGUGCAACGGGGGGCAGCGGUGGGGAAUAUUGCACAAUGGGAGGAAGUCGGAUGCAACAACGCCGCGUGCGGAAAGACGGCCUUCGGGGUGUAAACCGCUUUCGCCUGUGACGAAGCGUGAGUGACGGUAAUGGGUAAAGAAGCACCGGCUAACUACGUG
rnacentral:rRNA from 1 species